rnacentral:snRNA from 1 species
UCACCUUCCAUCCCGAUCAAGUAUCUGUUCUUAUCAGUGUAAUUACUGGUAUUGGUUCAUCAAACCAAUCAAUUAAUUACUCUUAUCUUUGCAAUGCCCUCAGCCAUGACCCGGCUUGCCGGAGUGGCUGGGACGAUGGCCUUGGGCUCACACUACUCCCUUGUGCUGUCAGGCAAG